GAUUUCUGGUUAAGUAACGCUAGCCCGCCCUUGCCAGGGGUGUGCGCUGGUUAGUUGCUUGCCAUCUUUCUAGAGAGCCAGCAGCUGUCAUUCACUUGGCGGCUGUGACGCGAUCUAGAUCUUUUACUUUGAAAAAAUUAGAGUGUUUAAAGCAGGCUUGCGCUAUGAAUACAUUAGCAUGGAAUAAUAAUUUAGGACUUUGCUUCUAUUUUAUUGGUUUCUAGGAGUAAAGUAAUGAUUGAUAGGGAUAGUUGGGGGUGCUAGUAUUCAUCGGCCAGAGGUGAAAUUCUUGGAUUCGAUGAAGACUAACUAAUGCGAAAGCAUU
rnacentral:rRNA from 1 species